ensembl:lncRNA
UCUCUCUCUUCUUUUAUUUUUUUUAUUUGUUUUUUGUUCUGUAGACCAUAAAAGCAUCUGACACAAACAAACAAACAAAAAAACUGCUACAAAUGCAGUAUUUGUUACAUUGAAAGAAACUUUACAAACCUAACAUGAAAACAAACCCAAAAAUAAUAGUAAAUCAUAUUGUAUGCUCUUUUCCAUUGCUGCCUUUACAUGAUUUGAAACCUGAUGAAGAGCUUAUUUGCCUUAAAGCUUGUUUUUUACCAACUGUAUCAGUUAAUCUAAUAAAAGAUAAUGACUAUACAAACUCUCUCCUCACAUACAUUUCACAGAGUCUAGAUAGAGGGGAAAAAAUUAAGUUUGAAAACCCUACUUGUGCAGUCCCAUUGAAAGGACAACGAAUUUGUCUGGAUGCAAUAUGUAAUAAAUAACCCUAUGGGAAAAAAACAAAACAACAAAAAAAAAAAGCAGAAACUCUCACAGCAUGUGCUUUACAAACUUGAAUAACUUGGACAUUUAAAUUGUUUUGUUUGGUCUCUUGCAUAUGGCAAAAUGGCCCAAUUGAUGCACUAAGUACCAUCAGUAUUUCAUUUUUAAGAAUUUAUCUGUUCUCCCUCCCCCUCCCCAUGAUGAUGGAGGAUAGGAUCAGUUUAGUAUCUGGAUCGCUGGCAGUGCACUUGAGUGCUGGUGAGUCAGCUAGAUGGGAAUGCUCCCUCUGAGUCAGUGCGGAGCCAGCCUCCCAGCAUGGUGCUUGGGGACACUCUGGUGCUUGAGCUGCAAUCAUUUAGAUCAGAGAAAACCAAAGCCCUGAACAGUUGCGGUCACUUGAGAUCAGAUGGAAAAAAACAGAGAGAUUAUGCCACCAAGCCACCCAGUGAGCCAGGAGAAUGUGGAACUAUUCUGAAGCACUGAUGGGUAUCACUGUGCUCCUGCAGGCCCCUGUCCCUCCAGCGGGUAGAAACUCAGUUUACAUCCUCCUGGAAGGGGAGUGUGUCUGCACGUGAGACUUCCUGGAAUACCACAAAGUGAGCGGGAAAUUGGGACCCACUUCUAACAUGGAAAAAAAUUACAGAGGAAAACAGAAAGCUAUUUUUGGCACGCUGAAUUCAGUAGAUGAAAAGCUGAGAUAAUCCUAUAGGAACUGUUUUGGAUCUUGAACAAGUCUAAUGGGGAGUGAAUAGGCAGCUUCAAGGGUCCUGACAAAGUGUGCAAGUGACAAAUGAAAGGAAGAUGUUCAUUUAUACACACUAUGUGUGAUCUUCUCUAGGGCUGGGGUAUGAAUUUUGCUCUUGACCACAGUCUUCCUUCUACUUUUGUUAAGCUGUUCCAAAAAGCAGGCCCUUGGAGAAGUGUUCAGCACUAUAGGAACUCUGGAUUUACGUUGGAUGCUUUUUAAAAGAGUGGCAGAGGACAUCACGUCAGUGAGAUUUCACCAAUUCAAGGAAAAACCUUGAAAACUCUAAUCAAGUCUGUCCCAUAUUCAUGCAACAGUAAAGACAAAAGGAUGUAAGUGCAUCAAAGUCUGUUUUUGAGUCUGACUGUAAAGAAUAAGUUAUUAUUCUUUGGAUUAUUUUUUUUUACAUUUCAAUGUUAUUUGUUGGCUCACAGAUAUUUCUUUUUCUUUCUCACACCUCAUACUUUGGCAUGACAACCUCUAAGCAAAUGCUACCAAGAUUACAUUAGGAAACCUCACUCAACAAUGCAGGUACAGUAAAAGAAAAAUGAAAAUGAAAACAAAAAAAAACUCAGGAGAGAAAAAAAAAAAAAAAUACCAACAAACAUGACAGAACCGCUUUGUUUCCCAAAUUAUCAUCAGGCUGUCCAGACAUGGAGAAGCAGUGAACAGCUAUCACAGUGUGGAUAAUAUAGAGAAGUGCUUCCAGGAACAAUGGGAGCAGCCUCCCGUAUGCAGAAUGGGAGCUGUCAGUGGGAAUUAGUGUCCCACAGAUCCUCCCCAUCUCCCAGUGACGGAUCCAGAAGGUGUGCUUGUGGGGUCAGGUGGGAAGGCAAAGCACUGAAGGUUGCAACACAUCCAGUGUAUAGAGAGUAUUAUCAAAUUACUUUGUCAUCUUUAACAGCCCUGCAGGGACUGCAGUGGAAUCUCAGUCCUUUUUUUAAUGAAUGGAAGUUUUACCCCGAAUAGUAAGAGCAAGAUAAAUACUUUUAGCUGUUUUACUUAGCUCAUUUUUUCUUUUCCUCCCUUUUUUUUUUUCCUUUAAUUUUAAAUAAUUACUGUUUUAAAGCCAGCCAAGGCACAUAGGGUUAAAGAUGUAAAAUCUCAGCAUGGUGCAAUAAAGCUGAUACUGAAAUAGUGUAUCCCUACUGUAGGAGGAAUCUGCAAUCAGGACUUCCAAGCACAUGCAAAAAAUAACUCUUGGAUCAGUCUUCUUGUCUUCCAGUAGACUUGGCAAGAAAGGCAAGCCAUAUGUGAAGCCAGCCAUAUAUCAGUUAUGUGGUCUUAGAUAUUUGCAAUAAAACAAAGGACUUUGCUGUCAGCCCUUCCUGAUUUCAUGAAGCCUUUACAGCUCACAGUAAUGUCUCUUUAUCAAAACCCACAAAGUUAUCCUUAGACAUGUGCAUUUCUUACGGAAAAUAUUCUCUGAAAUAGCUAUUUAUGAUUAAAUCCAUCAGGGAAAGGGGAAGACAUGAAAGGACUUAAUACAGCCAGUUUCAGCCAUGCUGAAUGCAUCUAGGAAUAACAAACGAGUGUAAAAACAAUUAAAAAUAAAAUAAGUAAGACUGGGGGAAGGGAAGAGGGUAGAAGAAUUAAAAUAGACAUACACAAAACAAUACGAUCAAGAAUGAAAUCUUUGUGACAGUGAUGUGGAUGCCCUGGUAAAUUAAGUGGAACUAAAACUUCACACCAGAAUUGCUCCUGGCCAUUUAUUUAGGCAGUAUUAGCCAGCAGUUUCAUGCAGGGAUCGUGCUAGGAGUGGGUUCAAGGAAAAAAAUUUGUAAGGGUGUUUUUCCCAGCCAAUGUGAGGUGGAUGGUCUGCACACAGGGAACAAGAAAGAUGGCUGAGAAUAGUUCAGAGUGAGCCACGAAGAGAGGUCAGGAGCUAAUGAAAAGUUAGCCCCCGGACCUGCAAAACCACGGGGAUGUGAACAGCCCUAUGCGUGUGAUUGCUCAGUUAUGUGAAGUUCACUGCGUGCUCAAGCUCAGGGUAAGAACUUGUUUGAUUUGAUGUAGUAGUGAGAGGAGUCAGGGGCGGGAUUUGAAAAGUGACGUGAUUGCAGCAGUGCUUUUCUGAAACAACUUUACAGAAAAAAUUCGGAGAGUGCAUUCCUUACAAAACUGAUAAGGUGUUACUAUAGAACUGCAGUAAUGACUUUGGCAAACAGUUUGUGCAAAUUUCUAGACUAUAAUUGCAAAUGUGGAUUUUUAAUCAAAUAUUAUUAACUAUUACAUAAUGAAAAGAAAUAAAAUCCCAAUAGACAGAUUAGCAUUUUUACUCUCUUUAAAAAACCUUUUUUACAAUGUUCCUUUGAGCCAUAUCCUAAGUUUUAAAAGCAUUUGGGUUUUCUAGAUCAGAUUCUGCAAGGCUCUUGGGCUAACUUUAAGUAUGUGAUUUGUCUAAUUGGAAUUAGCAGCUUGCAACCACGUAUGUUCCUAAGGAUCUUGCCAUGUCAUGCAGGUUUUCUUUUUCUUUUUUUUUUCCUACCUUAAAACCCAAUCAAACAAACAAAAACCAUAGUUAAAAUCGACUCCUGUCCCACCUCUUUUUGUUUAUUUAUUUAUUUUAAAUUCCCCUAUGUUAAAUCUUCACAAAAUCUUUCUUAUCACCUCGUGGAUUAAUUGCCAGUGAAAUAUUUGCUUUGGAAUGAGUAUCUCUUACUAAUGUGUCCUGCUCAGUGUUUAUGACUUAUAACUAUUCAGGGCAACAUACUAUAUUAUACAAAUAUUUGAAGCAAUCACAAGGGGGGCAAUGCUUUAACAUAAUCCUUCACUCACAAGUUGCCCUUGCAGCCCUUUUCAGUUACUUUUCAUUAUUUCACCACAGGGGAACAGUCUCAAUAAAUUAUUGUAUUAACAAUUACAUUAAAAAUGAGCCCUGGAACCCCUUUCUCUACCCCAGUAAAUGUCAUUUAACAGUUUUUGGUGUGGAAAUAUGCAACAGAUAAGUCAAGUGGGUUUUUCUUCUACUUCUUACAGAGGUAUGAAAAUAUCAGUAGAUGCUCAGAUCUCCGCUACUCAAAACAUUACGGGUCAGAUCCGAGCAGAGUGGAGAGGUCAGUGCUCCAUCAUCACAGCUUUAUAUCAUUAUGGGCUUUAGGGCAUAAUAGCCUGCAAGGAUGCUUGGUUAAAAGAUGGGAAGGAAACCUGAAAAAGGUUAAUUACGGCACGCACAGCACUUGACAGUUCCUUUUCAAUCUGAUUCAGCUCAGCUGUGAAUGCCACUGUGUCUUCUGCACAAAGAUCCCGCUCGCUGCUAUGCCACUUGCUGUCACCCCAAGGCAGUUGCGUGGUUUGCCCACAAGGACAGAUCCCAACCCCAAACACUGCAUGUUUUCCAAAGGGUGCACCUGCUUUGCUGUGGAUUUGGUGCUUAGAGCUUGCUGUCUGAAGCCUUAACACCCAGAAACUUGUUUUGACAGUUUGGGUUAUGUUAGUUAGGGAAUCCAAGGAGGGAAUAUCUCUGGAGGGGGCAGGGAGGAGAGGGAAAGAAGCACAAACAAAACAAAAACUUAAGCCUGUGACUAAUUGGCUGAAAGGAUGUGAGCAAUUCGGCUCCACUUAAUUGAAUGUGGGCUCAAAUUAAAAAGAAAGAGUAAUUGCCUUCAAAACUUUGCAUUGUAGAUUGCUGGUGAAAGGCUUAGAAGGUGAAAGCCUUAAAGCACAUGUGUCAGUGAUGUUGUUGACAGGAACCCAAAUAUCCUGUUAUAUGCAUCUGCAUUCAGAGGACUUCAUUCUAGAAGGGAUUAGCCUACAUUAUAUUGAUGGUUUUAUUUACAAGAUGAAUUUUCAUUAAAAAGGUACCCUGAUUUUUGCUAGAAAUUUCAGAAUGUGACCAUGCCUUCUAACUGCUAGCUGCCUUCUAAACAUUUCCUGAUCAGAGAACCUGAAAAUAGCUCUUCAAAUUUCAAAGUAAAUAUAAAGAAUCUCUGCAUUUGGUUACAAAUCCGCAUAUUCUUAUUCAUUUGUUCCUUCAAAUUUAGGGAGAACUUCAUCUGAGCAAAGGGAUAGUUGUGUUAAACACGAAUAACCAGGGAGUAGGGAGUCAAGGAAUUUACCUUGAAAGUACAAAUCUGAGUUAUGAGACCUUUUUAAAUAAAAAUCAGGAAUUAACUCAUGCGGUCUGUACAUUGCCAUUUAUUCUUUACAUCAAAGCUGCAUCCACAAGUUCUAGCCCCAUUGUGCUGUGCACAAAGACACAGAACAAAAGAAAUGUCCUACCUCUCAAAAUAAUUCUCUGCAAGAGUAACAAAGACCCUUUGUUUGCUAUUUAAGCAAGAUUGGUGGACAUCAUCUUUAAGAAGAAGCUCUGAGAAUCAACCUUUUCUGUCCUUUUCCAAAUAUGCAUAUGCACAUUUUUUGUGAGUCUGCUACAGUAAAAAGGCUCCUAAAGGAAAGAAUGGAGCAGAGCAAAAGGAAAAUAUUACUUUAUAUUAAUAACAAGUGGAGUGCACAACGCAUUCCACAUACAAAGGUUACCCAUCUACAGAGAUGGAAGCCAAGGGCAUUUUAAAACUUAAAGAUCCUUUAAAUAAACAUAUUGGUUUAAGUAGGAAGCAAAUAUUCUUAGCUCAGCAGGUAGUUGGUAUCUAAAUCACAUUCAGACUUCACAUAAAUACACAUGUCAAAGCAUUUAUCUAGUAAUAAAAAAAACAACUCUUAAGGAAUGCAGUUCAGAUAGGGAAGUGUCAGGUAUUUUGCACAUUUCCUAUUUCCAGCUCAUUAGUUUCAGCUUUUGACAGGGGUGGAGCUGAAAGAGGGGGUCAGAAAUCCUGUGGAGGUUUUUCUCUCCUCCCAAUUUCACAUGAAUAAACAGAGGGAGGGAGUCCCCUGCCUGUCUGCCAGGCUCUUAUCUAUCAUAUUUAGAUGCUAGAUGCUGUCAGAUACUAGAUAGCAAUGCCUGUAGGUAUUGCCAGUUACUGGGAAAUUAAACCGGGAACAGAAGAUACUCCUUUUCAUUCCCAAACUGACCUUAUGAUAUGAGUAGGUUUCAACAUCCUUCGAAAAACACUGAUGUCCAGACAAAGGUGGCAUUAUUAUAUUUUCAUCAUUUGCUACUCACACCUGAUUAUUAUUAUUUUUUUUCUCAUGUUGUCCACAAGUCUCUUACCAGCACCUUAUCUGUACCUUUUCUUUUGCCUACAUUAAUGUGUUCCUCUCAAAUCCAGGUUCUCUCACUCCGGAAGUUGUAGGUUUAGUACUGCACUGCUGGUUUUAAUUUGAACUUUCCUGAGUAUUAGGGAUUAUCAGAAAUACCUUGUUUUCAAAAAUAAAAUAGAAAGUGAAAAAAUAUACCUAGUUUUCCUUUAUUUCCCUAAAAAACAUUUCAGAAAAUGACAAUGCUUCCCUAGAGAGCGUUACUGUAAGAGGGACUUCGAUCUAAUUCUUGAAAUAUGUGCCUAUGAUCACUAACAGUCAAGUUAGCAAUUACCACCCUUGUGCAAGAAGAUACACACUGUAAGCCAAGAUAAGAUAUCCACACAAGCACACUGUCCCUACUAGCAGUAGAACAAACCUAGCCAGCACAAACUGCAAUAUAAAAGCUUUCAUGCAUUCAGCUGCUCUUUCAUCUGAAGGCUGAUAAAUUCCACCUGAUGGAAGUUAACUUCUUAAGACACUGUUGGAGCAUCCCUUGGUUUGUUGUUGGUAGGAUAUAAAUUAAUAUUGAUAUUUAAGGUACUUUGUUUACAGAGAGGAAAGCCAACAAUAUGGCCUAACUUUUGACUGAGUGAGGUCUCAGAGGUUACUUUGCACUGGCAUGAUCAUCCACACCUUUGGAUUACUUUUUGAAAAAUCUUUGUGGAUCAUGAGAUGCUUCUACUGUGAUAUGAAAAGAAAAUGACUGGCUUUGAUUUGAUGGUCAGGUGGAAUUUCAGUUUGGUUCCUAUCACCUCUCAGACUUGCUUAGAUGAUUCUGUUCCUAAAGUCUGUAUGGGUGUCAGGAAGAACAAUUAUGACUUGUUUUAAAGCUGUUCUGUUAGGGUCACAGGUGAAGUAAAAGACCCAUAACAUUUACCAAUAAUCAUUAGGACAGAGCAUAAGUAUUCACUUUGAAUUAACUUGUAAGCUAGAAGCAUUAACAAAGGCUGCAGGAAGUAUAAUUCUGGGAGGCUCAAAUCUGAAAUUUAUUUUGUCGCACUGUCAUAAAGGGGGUGCAACUUCUUUAAUGGAUUUGAGCCGUUACUAAAUGCAGUAGAGAACCAUAGGAUUCAGUGGACUUCACACAGCCAGGAGUUCAGAGUCUGCCCACUGUGGCUGGUGAGCUAUUUCAGAUGUCUGUUUCUAGCAGAAAUAGACCCGAAAGUGGGUUUACUCUCAAAGAAGAAAAAAGUAGGGUGAUGUAAAUUUCUCUUAAUUUGAGACUACAUUAUGGCCUGCUGCUGCUCAGUCAAAGAAGAUCAAAAAAAAAAAAAAAAAAAAAAAAAAAAUAGUUGCCUUUCUUGCUCUGAGUUUCUAACUGUCCUGCUCAGAUUGUGAAGCUAACAGUAGCUAAUAAAGGAGUAAGUGAACCAAACAUGAAUAACAUUUAGUUUAAAACCUAUCAGAUGGCAGAUGGGCCAUGUCUCAUAGGUGUCGUGGAGACAGUUCAGUGGAGAAGAUGCUGACCUAAUGGUGGCAAGAAUAUACUCCUGCCACUGCUGAUCAUUUUUCAUGGAUUCCCAGUUGGUUGUUUGAUAUGCAACUCCAAAAUUUAUUGUUUUUCUCCUUUUUCUUUCCUUUCUGUCAGCCAAUAAAGAGAAACCAUAACAUCAGCAGUGUUUGAAAACAUAUUUAUGUUUGUUUCCCCUAUAAAAAGAGAUAAUAAUGUUAUGUUCCAAUAAUAUUAAGUUGCAAUGUUAUUUGCAAGAUUGCAGAGCUUUUAAUUUUCUGAUUAUUUCCACAGUGGGAGUUUCAGCUCAAUUUCUACUAAGACAUUUCUAUCUGUUUUGGUUAUUUUUUUAUUACAGCUAGAAGCAACAAUAAUUGCCUUUAGUGUAUGAAAACAUGACUGAGGAGACAAUUGUCGUCCCUAAAGACUAAAAUCAUCAGCAUACAUUUUUGAUGUAAAAUUUUUGUAAAUUAAUUGCAAGGUCCUAUAAAUAUUAUAUUUACUAAAAUUGUGUUGUCUGCUGUCUUCAAAGAAAUAAUCUUUUCCUUUUUCUUUCUCUCUCUCUUUUUUUUUAACUAUGUUUCGUAUGCAGUACAUUUCCUGAGGCAGAAAACAAAAACAUGGAACAAAAUAUUAGCCUUUUACUUUUGUAGUUUUACAUUCUACUAUUUCUCUUUUUGAACUCUGGGGUUUCUUUUUAAUAUAGAGAAAAAGAUCAGUAACACUGUCAUUAAUCAUGACCAAUUUUCAGUUUCUCACUGUUCAGUUGAUCAAAAAAUUGAAUAUCCAUCCCAAAUAAUAAGGCAGUAUUCUUGCAUUUGAUUUUCUCACAGACCAGGAAAAUAAAUUCAAAAUGUCAAACGUUUUGUAGAAUAUCUUUUUCUGCAAUUCCUAUUCAGAAACAAUAAAAUGAAAUCUUUUAGAUGUCUCAUAAUGAAAGUGCUCCCACCCAGUUACAUCCUGGGAGAAAUUAUCUAUCACGACUUAUAAAGGAAAUAUCGUCUGCAACCACCCAUAGAGGAACCUGACAGACUGUCAAAGACCUGGAACUACAGUUGUCAAAAGUCCCUGAGAUAACUUGGGUAGAUGCCAAGAUUAAUAAGCCUAAUUAAAAUUACACUACUUUAUUUCCAUUUUUUCCUUGUAGAAUAAUAAACCACAGUCAGCCUAGAUUUUGUUUUUUAAAGAUCUAUUUUUUUACCUGGCUGUGUUAACAUCUCUCCAGUUGCAUUAUCUCACAGUCUGGUAUGUCCUGUGCAACCCAGAUGUAUAGUUGUUUCACAAGAUUUAUGAGUACAUGGCAAAGUUCUCAAGACAAACAGAUUAUGUCCUUUCCAAAUAGCUGUGUUUGACUGCAGGAGCUACAGAGUAUUUUGGAUAAAUGUGCUCAGCAGGCCUUUCUUUGAAGGAGACAGAUAGUGUAACAGCUAAUAUCAAGAACAGUGAUUAGCACCAAUAGAUUUUAGCAGAUUUACUCCAGUCAUAAUGGUAGCCCUUAAACUUGAGGAGGCAGUGCACUGGACUUACAUUAACUCUAGCAAAUUUGCUCCUAGAAAAGCAGUGGAAAACCUAGGGAAGAUUCUUACUAAUAAAGCACACUUUCAUAAGAAAAUCUGCUCUCCAAGGAAGAUCAGGGACAAGAUUAUACAGACAACCAGGACAAAAAUCAGUAGACAAGAAAAACUUCAGAAAUACUUAGUCUGUGGUUACUGUCUAAGAAUUAACUAUUUUUUUAUUUUUUAUUUUUUUGUUAAGACAGAUAUCAGGUCACUUUUUGAGACCAAUCACAGCUGCAGCUAUACCUGGAGUAGGACCUUGCUUUGGUUCUUCAUGAUUGCUAUAUCUAAAGUACAGCAGGAUGCAGCCAGAUAUGUCAAACUGCCCUUGUUUUCAACCAGGUAUUAGAUUCACAACUUCCUAAUGUAAAGAAAAAAAAAAAAUUAUCUGUAUUUUGAAGACUGAAUUCAUCUCCAGGUAAUACAAAUGAGAAACGGUGCUCUUCCCCACAGUAAUAGGAUUGCAAUCAAGCUCUCAAUGUGAUUUACAAACUCUGUAGUGUUAACCAAUUACUUGCUGGUCAGCCAAUAACAAUGACUGAAUCAUCUUUUGCUUCAGAAAAGGAUCACUGCGCACAAGUUGGAGAAUCUCACAGCACUGCCUUCAAACCAUUCCUACUAAAUAAGACACUGCACUUCUCUGUCGAUAGAUACUAUAUGGUAUUUUAGCCCAAGAAACUUAUGUCAGGAUGUAUAAAAACAACUGGGAACAUGCAGAAUAAUUGAAUCUUAAAUGAUUGUGUAUAAUGUGUCUGCAUUUAUAUUUCAGCAUUUAAAUGCGUUUCAAUACUUUGGUGUGUGAAAGGGUUAAACAAUAACAGAUUUCCUGUGCUAAACAGCUUAAUGAAAAACAUUCAGGGUGCUUUUUUAGAACAACAGACUCAUACUGCAAAAUGAUAAUCUUUGGUAUGUCCUUUUUUUUUUUCUUUUUCACAAGUAACAAUAUAGGCGAGACAGACUUUGCUAUAAUUCUUCCUAAUUGCUCUAAUGCAUUUCAUUUUAUUUUAGUGUUUUCAGUUUAUAAAAACAGUUAGCAUCAGUUUGUUUCCAGUUUUAAUGGAGAUAAACUCCUUCUUUUCCCCCUGAAAAAAUUCACAAUAUGGUUGGAAAUGUCAGCAAUAAUUAGACAAAAUGCUUGUGAAACAUAAAAUAAAAACAAUACGUCUUUUUAUAAUGGAAUCAGUUUGUCUGAUUAUCUCAAACAAUGUACAUUUCCAACUGCCCAGGAGGGUCAUUAGAGCUUAUGAAAAUCAAAGUCUGCUUUUUCUGCUUCAGACAUCAUGGACAACAAUAUUGUCUCCAGGAUCAUUAUAAAUAUAUGUUAGACUUUCUUGAACUACAGUGAACCUGAAGCAUGAAAUGCAUUUAAAGAUAAAAACAUCAGGGGAAAAAAAAAAAGAAAAAAUGAAAAACAAAACAAAAAAGCAAACAAAUAAAUCCACUUUGUGUUAUUAACUAAAUAAGUGUUACAUAGAAAUUAUAGUUGGAUACAUAACCUCGCUGAAUACAGUACUCAAGGGACCUUGGUUCUAUUCUGUCAUCAGUCACAGAUUUCCAGUAUAACCUCAAAAAAGUCAUUUCCUACCCUAUGCACAAUGAGGGCUGUUUGUCCCUUAAAGAGAUGGUUGUGACAGAGCUCCCUUCUGAGUUCCUGUCUAGGUGUGAAGUCUAAUUCAAGAAGUUUCUGUUAUUCCUUUGAGAUACACUCAGAGAAUAGACAAGAGUAUCACUUCUACCUUUUUUCCCAUUUGUAGAAAUGGGGCUAAUAUUCUCUUGCUCUCACUGGAGAGUUUAUGGAUACAAUCCAUUAGUGUGUGAGAGGCAUUCAGAUACCAUGAUGACAAGGACCAUUUAGCAAGUAAAUAUCUGGAUGGAGUAGGAGGAAUUCAGCUGCUGUUACCACAUUACAUUACAAAUAGUUUAGGACAAAAGACAAACGGGAAGUCUGAUAAGUUUAUCGUAUGAUCAGUUAUAGUCAUACAACAAUUCUGCACUCAAGGAACCUGGAAAGCUGUUUCAAAAAUGAAGUUUCCACCUGUUUAGUUUGUUUACCAAUAAGUGUGGCAGUAUGCCUAUUCUGCCCAGUGGUUUAAGCACUUUUCUCCUGCUCAUACAUGCUGGGUUUUCAGUCUUCAAUUGCAUCUUUCAGAUUCGGCAGCAGUGUCACACGGCAAGAUGGAAUUCUAGGGAUGCUGCUGCGUUGUUUUGGAUGGGAUCCUACUAUAUCAGCUGCCAAAGUGCCCAAGGAAAAAUUGAAACUUACAGGAAAAUUAUAGCGACAUGAAGAAAUUUCAUUAAAAGUGACAUGUUCUAAACCUUUUAGAAAUACAAAAAUCUGUUGAAGAUCCCAAGAUGUGUGUAGAAAAUGUGGGUAAGAAAAGAAAAUGCAUUACUAAACUAAUCUAAAACCAAAGCAGGUAUUUCUCUGCUAUAGUAUUGCUACACAUAUGCUCUUGUUAGUACAAGCAAAUGCUUACCAAUAAUGAACAAUCUCUGUUGGUUGCAAUGCUCAAGCACAAAUUAAACACUGCUAAAAACUAUUAUUAAAGCACAUGAAGGAAUUAAUACAUAAAAUCCUUCUGCUACUUCAAAUUCACAGCAAAGCGAUUCCUCUCUGCCAAGCCAUCAGUACAAUGUACAGAAGCCUAUUUUUAAGAAUGGUUAAGGGAACAUACUUUCCAUGGAUCUCCAUGUAUUUCAAGCCUACUAAGGGUACAACCCAUCCUAUCAGAGUAGGUUUAUUUGGAGGAGGAGGACAAGGAUCCCUGCUCACACUGUCUCCCAUGGCAUGAGAAAUGAGAAUAUUCCCGACAUCCCAGUAGCAAUAGGAGUAGAUAUGAUCCACUGUAAAAUCCUGUGAGCUUCAUUAUCAGUUUCAGAUGAGAGUUCUGUUUGUAAUUAGCAGAAACCAAACCAAUGAAGUAGUAUUUGGUUUUCUUUUGUGUGUUUUGCUCUCCAACAGUUGCUGAACACUUCAUUUUAGUCCACCAAUUCCUCAGCUAGUGACACAGCCCAGUCAGGGUCACAGGCCCAAAAUGUAUUCCACCUCUAUGCUCACCUGUCUCUUAAGCAGGGAAAUUAAAAUUCAUUGUCAAAAUAAGCAGAGAUUUUGCAGAUUGAAACAAGAGAGGAAUAGCACUUCUCUCUCUUGUGUCUUCUACAGUGUAACACAGCAGAGAAAGUAAAGCCCAGGGAAAAACAAAUUAGAGUGACCCCAAUGUCCUGAAGACAAUAUUUUCAAGCUUCAUCAUUGAAAUAAAGAUUUGAGAAAUCACCAAUCAACAGCUCAAAUCCACCAGAAGCAGAACGUCAAGUUUGGGCCCACAUGCAGAUUCUCACAUGAGGCUUUCACAUGGUAAACAGCCAAUGUUUGAAAAGGCACACAGCAGAAAUUGUUGGAAGAAACAUUAGCUGGGAGGGCAGGCCCAUUGCCUUAGCUCUCCAAGGCAGACUGAAACAAUAGCAAGUGACACAGAUGAAUUUUCACCUUGUCUACCGGUACUGCCACAGAAAGGAUGUAAUGCAAUCUCCUGAGAAGUCCAUUGUCCUCAUGGCACUGUGUGAAAUCUGUGACAAUGUCAGAACUUGGUCAUAGCUCCAUGUUCUCUGCCAGAAACAUAAGCAUGCUUCGAGUGCAUUAUUCUUUUAGAGGGGGGCCUCGAAAAGUUCAGCUGUAGGAUUUUCUCAUCAGCUUAAUUUUUCCAUGUUCUGUUUUGUUUCUGGUAUUUUCCCACUUAUGUUAUUUGCUUGCUGAAGCUGCUCCAUUCAUGGAGUUCAGUAAAUGGUGUUUGCCAUCAGAACAAUUUGAUUCUAGUUCUAAUUAUAACAACAAGCUGCUUUCUUCAAACAUAAUAUGGGUGUUUCAUUAUUUUAAAUUGUUAUCUUCCAUAUUAAUUACAGAAACAGUUGAUCUUUUCUGAGAAACCAGCAGCUGCAAAUUCCCCCCUUUUUAAAUGUCUCAUUUUAAUAGGUGAAACAUCAGGUAAAAAUUAAAUCAGAUUGUAUCAUAAUUCUCCAGAAGAAGAUAUGUAAGUUACAACACAUUGCCUCCAUAUUCCAUAGGGUUACACUAUUCAGGUGUAUUCAACCAUGUAGCUUAGUAUAGAUCACACAGCUCAGUUGCAGACACAGUGCCCCUAAAUAAAUCACACAGCAAUGGCAACAUUACUAAUGAGACUAUCAGAAUCAAAGGAAGCAGGGUGAUGCAUCUGAGUAGAGCCUACAUCAUUAUUCUGCAUGAUUUGUUUAUGGUAUUGUUGGUGAGUCGUGUUUCUCCCCCCUCCUUUCCUAGUCCAUCUGGAUUAAAAAUGGGAACUAGAAGAACUGAAGUCCUGGAAUAGCCUGUACACAACAGUCCUGCAGUCAUAAGGAGGGGUGGUCUGGUGCUUCUUGCAAGGCAUCUGAUUACACAAACUCACUUAUCAUCUGUACUCUGCAACAGUUCAAGAGCUGAACUUCUGACAGUUUUCUUCUGUCACGUAUUUGUAGCUACUGAUCUCCAUGAUCCCUGAAAGAAGUAUAACUCAGUUACUGAGCCUGCUGACACUCAUGUCAUACUUUUUUCCAUCCUCACUCAAAGCAGUGAUCGAAAUUUAUUCCUAUUUUGUGAAGUACAGAGUAACGAAUUUCCAAUACUAGUGGCUUUUUCUCCACAUUAGAACUCCACAUUUCUGAAAGGGAAAGUUAAUGUUGGAGAUGAGAAUAUGCUACCAGCAAAGCUAAGUUAUUUAGCAUUUCUACAGUAUUUAAAAUUUCUUCAGAUAAAAUAUGAGAAUUAUAUUUAAAAAAAAAAAAAAAAAGAAGAAGAAGAAGAAGAAAAAGACAAACAAACACAGAACAGUUUUCUAAAGAUGAUAUGUAAGCUGCACAACACUGAGAUUCUCCUUGGACAUAAAUUGCUGACAACAUGUCAAAUCUUUUCCACAACUGGGAUACAUUUACAUUGUUUUAAACAUGGAGUUACUUCUUUGCUGUUUAGGAUUUGGCCAAAUUUAAACAUGCUUGGAAGACAGAGACUUAACUUCUCAAAUAAUUUAUUGAUUGCAGAUAGAAACAUUUUUUCUUAAAUUGUGCAAAUAAGAGCUAGAUAACAUUGAGAAUAGGAGCUUUCAAAACCUCUGCACUGAUCACAUCUGACAAACAAGAUAGGAAAAAAAUAUUAAAAAAAAAAAAGAAAAAGAAAAGAGUUUAAAAGAAGAGUGAUAACAACACAACAAAACAGCAAAACAAAACAACACAGAAAAAACAACUCAAAACACAACCCAAACCUAGAGCUUAACCAAAUAAUUCAAUGUUCUUCCCCAAAACCAAUGGAGAGAGGAAUAUAAAUCAUGAAUUUAUAAUAAAAAAAAAUGAUUUUUUUUUCCUAAAUCAAUGGUACUCCUAAACACGCUUCAAACAAUAAAGUAAGACUUUGCAGUGAUGAGUAGUUCAAAACAAUUCUUCAACCAGAUGGUUACAACUGUGGUUUUCUGUACUCCCCUUUCAUUUUCCCUUUCUUACAUGUCCCUCCCACUUUGCAUCAUACCAAUUAAUAUCUUUCCUUCCCUAACAGCCCUCUAGAUAAUUCACAGAGGCAUUUUUCUGUGUGGCCUAGCAUUAAACAGAAACUAUUAAACAGUCAACUCCUAUUUCUUCUAUAGAAUUAAUGUCAUGUUAACUCACAGAAUGCCUUGCUGUUUAAUCACACAUGAAUGAGGUAUUUUAAAGAAGUUGUAAGGUAUUUCAGCCACACCCUAAGAACAUUCCGCUGAUUUAAACCAGGAUGCACUAAACCUGUUUUAGAUACAGUAUAGGAACACUACUUUUAAUUGCUAAUUUUUGCCUUACAAAUCUAAGUAGAAAUAACAAGGAAAAUAUAAUGCUCUUUAAAACAGAAAAAUUGAGUUGAAGUUUUGUGCAAUUUGAUGCCUUGCUGGCAUUUUAGGACUUACUAUUAAAACUCACAUGAAAGUAACCUGAAGGAAAGUUCUCUGGAAGGACAAAGGAAUCAAAUUGUGUCUUUGAUGCUUAUAGACAUAUUCUGGAGUGAUUUUAUAUUGAAUCCCACUUCCAUGAGAACUAUGUGGUUUUAUUCAUGGAGGUGUAAGCACCUGAGCACUCAUCUCUAUGAGUAACAAUAUUCAGAGUUCCAUUGUAUUCUAUUAUAUUAUGACUAGCAGCCUCCAAAUCUGCACUGAAGUAGUUUGAUGCAUUAUCAGCAUUUUGAUCCAACCAUAGCUCAUUAUCUGUGGUCUUACUACUGAUGUGUCUCCAGUCAUGACUCAGAACGGCAGUGCUGGGGCCCAUGUGACCAGAUCCCCUUUCAUCUCCGGGGCUCCAUUUUCUUUAUAAAACAAAGAGGUGCCAUCACAAAUGUACUUUUUGGCAUUUCCCUGUCAGCCAGAAUCAACCUGCUAACUGAUAGGUGUGCUGUGUCUCCUAGAGGGUCUAGAUGUGCAUAUGUGGUUGCAUCCAUGCUCAGAAACAAGGUGCUUAAUCAUGGCAAAGUACAGGGACAUUAAAACCCAUCCAGUUCCAACCCCCUGCCAUGGUCUGGCUGCCCCCCAACAGACUGGGGCCCAGGGCCCCAUCCCACCCAACCUUGAACGCUUCUAGAGGUGAGGUACCUACAGCUUCUCUGGCAGCCUGUCCCAGCACCUCACCAUUCUCUGAGUAAAGAUUUUUUUGGUAACAUCUAACCUAAAUUUCCACUAUUUUAGUUUAAAGCCAUUCCCCCUUCUUCUAUCACUCUUAGACAGUGUUUCAGUGCUGAACAUAUUAAUUACAUAUCCCCAGAAAUUUUCGAACUGCAGCAGUCAGGCUGGAAGGGAACAGUCACAGCAGCAGCACUUUUAGUCCCAUGGAGGAAAGAUUCCAGCUCUCAAAUGCCAGACUUCAUGUGUGCAGAGAGCACCAAGAAGUGCUGCAGAGAGUACCAAGAGCCAACAGGAAUGAUGGUGCCUUUUAAUCUUGGUAAUAAAUGAGCAAAUGCAGCAAAGUAGAAUUUAUCUGUUAACACUGACAGUUGUUAAAGACCAUGUAACUGUCUGUAAUGUAUAUAGAAUUAUUGACAUCAGAUGUGUUUAUAUUUAGGUUAAACAACUAUAUUGUUUUUAUAAGAGAAAACUGUUUCUGAAAACAAUAGGCCAAAUUGCUUUUUCUUGCUAAGAACAAUGAUGCAAUUCUGCCAGUACCAACAAUUUUUAUUACAGAAUCAGCUAACUGAAAACACAAGGCUCUUUAACAACAUGUAUCUUACAAAGCACUCCAGUGCAUGCUGAUGCUGUUUUGCUUUGUUUGCCAGUCAAGAUGGGUAAAAGCAAUUUGUAUUUUGCAUUUUGCUUGUUAUUUCACUUUUCCUUUGUAUGGUUCCUCUCGCUUUCCUUUCUUUUCAUGCAGGCAAGCUCCAUUUCUUCUAAAUUUUUCACUAUCAAAACUACUUCGAUGAAAUCAGAGUCAGCUGAAGAGAAAAAGGCAAAUCCUUCCGGGAUGAGGAAGAAACAGAAGGAAAAGAGAAGAGAAUUGAGAUGGAAAAUACAUUCUUGUCUCCAGAAAUAAGCAAGGCUCCCCAGAAUUUGGAGAUUAUGCAGUCACAGUUACCACAGCAAACAUAUUCUGAGCCGUGUCUUGGACCAUCCCAUUAAAGAUUUUCAAAUACACAACUAUAGGACUGCUUGCAAGAGGGCUGCCUAUUUGAAAUUUGUUUAAAUGCUAGUGUUAUGGAAAGCAUAAUCGGUACAGAUAUACCAAAACUGAGUCUGUAAAACAGAAAAUAAACCUUGCCAUUUGCCAUUUAGAGGCAGUUUAAAACAAGGUCUUUGACUUUGGACUGUACCUGGCAGGUUAGAGAUUCACUAGAUGUGCAGAAGAUGCAGCAAACUGAGAUCAUAGACUAAUGAUUUAGAUUUAAGAUUUAAACUAUAUCUCAUUGUCAUUGAGAUAACAUAAUAACUGAAUUAAAAAAAAAAAAAAAACUGGCUUUUGUCAGUGCAAAAAUUAAGCUCUUGUGCUUGCCUCAGUAAUGAAAUAUACAACAUCUCUUGUUGUCCUUACCUUUGAACUGCAGAUAACUGUACAGCAAUGUUACAGGACAGAGAUACACUUGUGAAAUAUUCACGAGCUGAUGUCUUUGCAGCCCCACGGGACCAGUGAAGAGCUCUUUUUUCCCCCACAUCUCUCUCUCAGACUUUAAAUAAUGAGGAGCAGAAAAGGUAUGAGACAACAUGUCUGUGUGUCUCCUUUGAAAUCUUUUCUUACAUUACCUUGUUAUCUGUGCUCAAGAGCAGCAGGUAUUCCAGCAGUUCAGAGUGUAUCCACAGCAAAAACACCCAGCAAAAUAGACUACCAGUCGACACAGCUUUCAGUUCCUGGUCCAGUCGGCAAAACACAAAACUAAUACAUAGGGGAGUGCCAGCCUGGCUGAGGCUAGAGGGGAGUGAAGGCAGAAUUUUUGCCAAGCAGUGAUUUAGGAAAAUAUAUAUUAUUCAUCCUGGAAAACAACCUAAUGCACUGUUUCCUACUCUGUGCUCUGAAAGUGCCUUCAUAUGGAAAGCUAUUAAACUUCUAUAUGUUUUUAGCAUUACAGCGUGGAUCAAAGCCUGACCACCCCAGGCAGAUGAGAGUGUCAGAUCCCUCCACCAGUCAGGAGGAUUUGGAUCAGUGUUUUCACAUUAGCCGUCAGUGGUGAAGAAAUCCAUCCAGACCUGAAUUUGGAGUUUUUCCUAUGCUACAGUACUGUGCAUUGGGAAAGACCAUCCUGAACUUACUAUGGGUGGAAUUCCACUUGUUUCUACCACUCUAAGUCAGGCUGGAGCAUGGACAAGAAUUAAAUCAGACCAGACUUAUCAGGGGAAUUCACCUUGUCAUCAAGGCAAACGUAACACUUUUUUUUUUUUUUUUUUUUUUUGAGGAGGCAUCACAUUUUAAAUUUCAAGUGCUGUAAGUCUUCUAACCCCCUUUUUUUAUUCCUUCUGUGAUACAAAAAUGCUUAUAUAACAGGUAUUUUCCCACACCAGCCUUAAAAGCCCUUAUUUCCUUUCUUUUUUUAUUUCAACAGACUAAUAGUCAUUGCAACACAGGUGACAGUAAAUCAAAUCAAGUUGAAAUGUCGGCCUGACUCAUUCUCAGACGAUAUAUGAUUUGUUUGCAUUGCAUUAUCUUGGAAACCCAUAGCCAGUGUGCACUAACUACAUGUCUGCACAUGGCAAGAAGAUAAACACCCUUAGCCAGUAAUAUAAAAUCUAAAUAAAAUUACAAUCAGGUUUGUAUACUAGGAUAGCUUUGUAACACCCAUGGGGCAUUACUCUUAUCAUUAGAAUUAUUUGCAUUAGAGCAGUGUCCAAAGAUCCUGCCUAUGAUCAGGUUCAAAUUGUGCUAGGCUCUGGAAAACAUGGGAAGAGACAAAAAUUCUGAAUGUUAAAUAGAUAAUUACAUGCAAAGGGUGUGAGAAAGAAAGGAUGGCUAUCAUUAUUUUGUAGAGAACUUAGGUGUGGAGAUUACAUUUUUGCUACAUUCUAAGCAUAGGUGCAAAGCAAUGCUGAAGUACAAGUCUGAUUUGCAUGUUCUUUGCACACCAUAACAUGUGUAGGUUACCACGGCUUUGUGGAAAUACUGAUAACAGUGGGAGAGAAAGCUUGAGUCUUCCAUCUCCAGCCACACACAUGGGCAGCUGGAAACGGGUGGCUAGGCUUUUCGCCUGAGGCAACAGCCACGCAUCCUGUCAUGCUGUCCUCUGACACUAUUUGAGUGCUGAUCAGACACGCCUGCCCAAGUUGUUCCCAUAAAGGCGUAGAGCCCUGCAACACAGGAUAGAUGGGCAGGAGAGUUACAGGAACGCCAAGCCCAGAGUCAGAUACCUGAAUGGAUGCCCAGACAACAUGAGUGGGUUUUUUGUUUAUUUUUUCUUUUUCCUCUCUUGGGCAGACCACAUGUUUUCUGUAAAGUCAUAAAAAAAUCUAAGUGGUGCUAAGAACCAGUCACCUCACUCCAGUUUGGCAUUUGCAAAUUCACCAUUCCUCUCUAAGGUAACAGCUGCUGGAACUACACCAGCAACUUCUUCAAAAAACAGGACAAGUGGUCUUUCAGUGGUGGAAGAUCUGCUGAACUCAAAGGAAGCUGCAUCUGGAGUAACAUUUCAAUGUAUACGCUGUGCAUGCUUACAAGUUUUAUGAUUACAGAAACAGCCAGCACAAUGCUGGGCUGACGAAAGAGGGGGUGGAUGUUUAGAUGCUGCUGUUUCACUUCAUGUUGGCAGGGAUAUGGAAAUUAUGAAGUGAUAAGGAGAGAUGUAAGAGGGAGGAGAAGGCAUGAGUGAUUGAUUAUGUGCUUAAUUAAGCAAUGUUGGCCACAUCAAGUUGUAGUGAAGUCUCUGUACAUCUGUAGCAUGCUUUUAGUCCCAGGCAAUAAAUUGGCUACCUGCCUCUGAAUGGACAGUGAGGGGAAAAUACUUUUGAAGGUAGAAAUGUUGGCUAUCCAGAAGCGAUGGAUGGUUACUUACUAUUUUUUUUUUGUCUUUGAAGACCGUAUAUUAUCAGUUAACAUAAUGAACUCACCAAGUGGUCCAGUAACCCACGGAAGUAAUUCUGCUUAGAUCACUGAAAUAAAAGGCAGGAGCAAGGCUUUCAGACUUAGGCCUCAAACAAAAACUAACAUUCAAGGAUAGCAAGCUUUUCCUCCUGUUUAAGCUCCUUUAAUAAAAAUGCAAAUAUUGCUUUCUUAACCACAAUAGGAACUCUAGUCAUUAUUUUUCAAUACUAAUGUUAGUGUUUUCCUAUAACUUCUGUUGUGCUGUAAUUCUAGAGGCCCAUGUCUAAUCCCAUAUGUAAUGUGUUUAUUAGAUGUAAUAUUUUAUCUCUUGGAUACAGUUUCUGACACUAUCAUUUUGUUCUUAUUUCAAUAAAACUGAUUUCCUUCCUUCUCACCCUGACAGGAUGCAUUGAAUUUCUUUAUCACAGAAGAAAGUUAGAAAGGUUCUCCCAUAAAAGACAAAAAUGGACUGCAUGUAGUGUGGCUUAAUUUAAUUUAUCUCAUAAAGUCCAGACCAAAUAAAGUAACUUUAUAAUAUUAGAUACGGCCAGAAUUGAGCUGGGAUUCUUUUGUUGUUGUUGUUUGUUUUUAAUAUAUGGUUAUCUAGUCUCAGUAAAUCUGUAGCUCAUUGGCUUCACCACCUGUAUCCUUCUGAACACAGAAUGAAACAGUACCAAAUGCUCAUGCAAUUUCUGAUUUUCUUUGGGAAUUCACUAUCUGUGUGCUUUAAUCAAGUGAUAAUAUGUAGGAACCAUUCCAGCUUUCAGCUGACAAAAGCACAAUAUUAGUUGUUUGAUGAGAACUCCUCUAUGGAUACAAAUUCCACAUGGAUUUUCCCAGGCUUUGUAAAUUUAUUAAAAAAUAAUAUAUUCUAUACACAAUUAGAACAUGAAUGUUAAAAGAGUAAGUAAAGUAAUUUGUUGGGAAUGUGAAAUCAUCUAGAAAAGAAAGAUGUUUUCGUAUAAUUUUAGCUGUCACAUAAUAAUUUGCAAAACACAGAAGGCAUUUGAAACCUUUGGUAUCCAGAUCCAGAUUCCCAGUAGAAAAGUAUUCCUUUCAGGCUACCUUCUGGAAUAAAGGUCUUCUUUAUCUCCUUUAUCAUAUUGGUAGUGUUUCACUAAACAGACAGUCAGAAGCUGCUGUUGAAUAGGGAAGCUGGAAAACGCUCAUCUUAUUUCAUAUUCAUUUUCCACACCUUGUCAACAACUGCACAGCUCACCACUGAAGCUGCAUUUCAUGCAAUGCAUCCAAAGGUUACAACUUAUAGGUCAGAGAUGGGAAUUUUCACUUCGCAAUCACUGGGCAGCUGAGACUCCAUACAUUACUGUGGUGACAGGUAUAGUACGCAGUGAUGAACCUUCUGUCAGUCAGACAGAGGUCACAUUGGUAUCAGUUACUAACAUACCUCUCUCCUAGCUUAAAAAAAAAAAAAAAAAGGAAAAUUAAAAAAAGUCUAUUUUUUUUCUUCUUGUGGAAAAUGGAAACAGAGUUGAUGUUCACUAAUGUCAAGUGGCAGGAGAUUUAGAGCCCCAGAGCUCAGGAGGUCUCCUGUAGCUGUGCUGGCAGUACUUUCAGCACCAACAUAAAUCGCCGCCUGAACUGAAACCCACAAAAGCUGUUCCAGAAGAAACUACAACAGCCACGUAAACAUGUACUGGACAGGAAACAAUGAACUCCAACCUGGUACUGGAGAAUCCAAAAUAAGAGCAUGUCAACUUCCUGGUCAUAGCUAUUUUAUUUUUUUUCGUAUUUAGCAUCACUUACACAAAAACAGUUAAAAAUUAUUACCUUAGCAGACAGACAGAUUUUUAGUUUUUGUAAUGAGGUGGCUGAAUCUCACAUUAAAGAGGAAGCUGUAACACAAAUAAGAGGAAGUGAAUAAGUACUUAAGAUGUACCUUCAACUCCGUAAUUUUAACGCUUUCAUGAAGAGAUCAGAAUACAAAAUCUAUCAUCAUUAAUUAUAUCCUGUUAUACCAUCCUUGUGUUCUUUGCCAAAUAAAUGCCAUAACACAUCAGAUAACAACAGAAUAUUUACAUUACAAAGGUUAAAGGAUCAUGCUAUCUGUAGCUAGGUCAAAGUAUUUUGGUCAACUGCAAUAAAAUUUUGUCUGAAGGUCCCCAGAGGUUAAUGCGAUCACUGAACUUCACAGUCAGUUUAUGAAUAAGACCUUAAAAGAAUAUUCCUAAGUUCCUGCAUUUUCCUACUUGUGGUACUUGAACAUCCACAAGCAAAUACUGGCCUUCCUAAACAAGACAGUUGGAUGACACAUUUUUUUGUGUCAAAAAGGAAGCCCUUCUUCCCCUCAAAAAAAAAGAAAAAAAAAAAAAAAACCUAGCAUAAAGCAGACUCUAUACACAUGGAAUAAAUUGAUUUUACCAAGGCUAAAUUUGUCUAGUGGAGCCUAUACUUGAGAUCAUUCAAGCGCUCUCUUGAGUUAUCUCAUUGUAGCAGAGUUUGCAGGACAGGGCCUUGAAUUUGUUUCUGCCAUACAAAGUUGAUAUAUAAGAAGACAGGAUUUAAUUGAAACAUCUUGAAAGAG